GUCGAGCGAGAAGACGUGAGACAUACUACUGUUGUGUAAAGCGGCGAACGGGUGAGGAAUACAUGGGUAACCUACCCUCGAGUGGGGAAUAACUAGCCGAAAGGUUAGCUAAUACCGCGUACGCUUCUUGGACUUCGGUUCAGGGAGGAAAGCGAUACCGUGGGUAUCGCGCUCUUGGAUGGGCUCAUGUCCUAUCAGCUUGUUGGUGAGGUAACGGCUCACCAAGGCUUCGACGGGUAGCUGGUCUGAGAGGACGAUCAGCCACACUGGCACUGCGACACGGGCCAGACUCCUACGGGAGGCAGCAGUAAGGAAUAUUGCGCAAUGGGCGAAAGCCUGACGCAGCGACGCCGCGUGGGGGAUGAAGGUCUUCGGAUUGUAAACCCCUUUCGGGAGGGAAGAUGGAAUGGGGUAACCCAUUCGGACGGUACCUCCAGAAGCAGCCACGGCUAACUUCGUGCCAGCAGCCGCGGUAAUACGAAGGUGGCAAGCGUUGUUCGGAUUUACUGGGCGUACAGGGAGCGUAGGCGGUUCGGUAAGCCCUCUGUGAAAUCUCCAGGCUUAACCUGGAACAGUCGGAGGGGACUGCUGGGCUAGAGGACGGGAGAGGAGCGCGGAAUUCCCGGUGUAGCGGUGAAAUGCGUAGAGAUCGGGAGGAAGGCCGGUGGCGAAGGCGGCGCUCUGGAACGUUUCUGACGCUGAGGCUCGAAAGCGUGGGGAGCAAACAGGAUUAGAUACCCUGGUAGUCCACGCCUUAAACUAUGAAUACUAAGUGUCGGCGGGUUACCGCCGGUGCCGCAGCUAACGCAUUUAAGUAUUCCGCCUGGGAAGUACGGCCGCAAGGUUG
rnacentral:rRNA from 1 species